AGGACGAACGCUGGCGGCGUGCCUAACACAUGCAAGUCGAACGGAGAGGACAUGAAGUAUUUCGGUACGGAAUGCUCUCUUAGUGGCGAACGGGUGAGUAACACGUGGGCAACCUGCCCCAGACUGGGGGAUAACAUUGUGAAAACAGUGCUAAUACCGCAUGACAGGGUUCCGGGCAUCCGGGACCCUUGAAAGGAGAAAUCCGGUCAGGGAUGGGCCCGCGUCCAAUUAGCUAGUUGGCGGGGUAACGGCCCACCAAGGCGACGAUUGGUAGCCGAACUGAGAGGUUGAUCGGCCACAUUGGGACUGAGACACGGCCCAGACUCCUACGGGAGGCAGCAGUGGGGAAUAUUGGGCAAUGGGCGAAAAAGCCUGACCCAGCGACGCCGCGUGAAGGAUGAAGGUCUUCGGAUUGUAAACUUCUUUGAUCAGGGAAGAAAGAAAUGACGGUACCUGAAAAACAAGCCACGGCUAACUACGUGCCAGCCGCCGC
rnacentral:rRNA from 1 species